rnacentral:rRNA from 1 species
GUGGGGAAUAUUGGACAAUGGGCGAAAGCCUGAUCCAGCCAUGCCGCGUGUGUGAAGAAGGUCUUCGGAUUGUAAAGCACUUUAAGUUGGGAGGAAGGGCAGUAAGUUAAUACCUUGCUGUUUUGACGUUACCAACAGAAUAAGCACCGGCUAACUUCGUGCCAGCAGCCGCGGUAAUACGAAGGGUGCAAGCGUUAAUCGGAAUUACUGGGCGUAAAGCGCGCGUAGGUGGUUUUGUAAGUUGGAGGUGAAAUCCCCGGGGUAAAACUGGGAACUGCCUCAAAAACUGCAUGACUAGAGGACGGUAGAGGGUAGUGGAAUUUCCUGUGUAGCGGUGAAAUGCGUAGAUAUAGGAAGGAACACCAGUGGCGAAGGCGACUACCUGGACUGAUACUGACACUGAGGUGCGAAAGCGUGGGGAGCAAACAGGAUUAGAUACCCGUGUAGUCC